UGGGGAAUAUUGCACAAUGGGCGGAAGCCUGAUGCAGCGACGCCGCGUGAGGGAUGACGGCCUUCGGGUUGUAAACCUCUUUCAGUAGGGACGAAGCGUAAGUGACGGUACCUGCAGAAGAAGCACCGGCUAACUACGUGCCAGCAGCCGCGGUAAUACGGAAGGUUCGGGCGUUAUCCGGAUUUAUUGGGUUUAAAGGGAGUGUAGGCGGUUGGUUAAGCGUGUUGUGAAAUGUAGAUGCUCAACAUCUGACUUGCAGCGCGAACUGGCUGACUUGAGUACACACAACGUAGGCGGAAUUCAUGGUGUAGCGGUGAAAUGCUUAGAUAUCAUGAAGAACUCCGAUUGCGAAGGCAGCUUACGGGAGUGUUACUGACGCUUAAGCUCGAAGGUGCGGGUAUCGAACAGG
rnacentral:rRNA from 1 species